GCCUUCAUCUCAUUUUCUUAUCCGUGUCUUUGUAACUCCAUGAUUCUAGAGCGUAGUAUAGAGAUUUCUCAAUGACUAAUUCUAGGGGCUUUUCAUGUUUCUCCUUCCACGUACGUUGCACCAGGGUUGAAUACUAAGUUGGCAACCCUGGAUAUGUUGGCUUGAGGAGUUCUUCGUGUGUGUGCAUGCGCCUCUUUGCCAAUUUUCUUUUGCUAUAUAUUUGUUUUUCAUUCCGUGAAACUUUUGCUAAAAACGACACCCUCGCAUCCUGUGAACCAGAUCUCCUCAUUGUUUGGUGGAAUUAUUUCUCCACAUGAAUGCCCGAAAUAUAGGGAGGGAAACAUCGCGGACCCAAUAAAAAAUCCACAGGAACCUC
rnacentral:lncRNA from 1 species